AAACUGGGAUUAGAUACCCCACUAUGCCUGGCCCUAAAUCUUGAUACUUACCCUACCGAAGUAUCCGCCAGAGAACUACGAGCACAAACGCUUAAAACUCUAAGGACUUGGCGGUGCCCUAAACCCACCUAGAGGAGCCUGUUCUGUAAUCGAUGAUCCACGAUCAACCCAACCGCCCCUUGCCAAGCACAGCCUACAUACCGCCGUCGCCAGCCCACCUCGAAUGAGAGCGCAACAGUGGGCGCAACAGCACCCCGCUAAUAAGACAGGUCAAGGUAUAGCCUAUGGGACGGAAGAAAUGGGCUACAUUCCCUAUGCAUAGGGCAACACGGAAAGAAGUAUGAAACUGCUUCUAGAAGGAGGAUUUAGCAGUAAAGCGGGACAAUAAAGCUCGCUUUAAGCCGGCCCUAGGGCACGUACAUACCGCCCGUCACCCUC
rnacentral:rRNA from 1 species